rnacentral:rRNA from 1 species
GACGGAGGGUGCAAGCGUUUGUUCGGAAUUACUGGGCGUAAAGCGCGGGCAGGUGGCCUUUUAAGUCCUUUGUGAAACUCCGGAGCUCAACUCCGGACGUGCAUAGGAUACUGGAUAGCUAGAGUUCGGCAGAGGGAAGCGGAAUUUCCGGUGUAGCGGUGAAAUGCGUAGAUAUCGGAAGGAACAUCAGUGGCGAAAGCGGCUUCCUGGACCAGAACUGACGAUCAGGCACGAAAGCGUGGGGAGCAAACAGG